rnacentral:lncRNA from 1 species
GUCUCCGAGGGGAAGUACCGAGUGGGAGACUCCAGCUUGCUCAUCUUUGUGAGGGUGCUGAGGAACCACGUGAUGGUGCGAGUGGGCGGCGGCUGGGACACACUGGAGCACUACCUAGACAAGCAUGACCCUUGCCGCUGCACUUCUUCCAAGGGGAUCACCCACUCCUAGUCCCCGCCCCGGUAGCCCAGUCCCUGGAAGUGAGCGCCGGAGCUCCCGGCCCGAAGUAACUCCCAUCAGCCUGCGAAGCACAAAGGAGGGGCCUGAGACCCCACUCAGGCCCCGCGACCAGCUGCCCCCCCUCCCCCGCUCCCGCCGCUACUCCGGGGACAGUGACUCCUCAGCCUCCUCAGCACAGAGCGGCCCCAUGGGUGCCCGCAGCGACGAUUCAGCCACUGGCUCCCGGAGGGAGCGGCCUAACCACCGGCUGACCUCCGGUCUAACGGCCUCCCCGAGACGGCCGCCCACCCCUCGCAGCCAGUCUCGAGACCGGCUGGACCGGGGACGGCCUCGCAUGGCCCCAGGAGGCCGAGGCGCUCAGCUGUCGGCCUCCAGCCCCGCACGGCGCACCCGCAGCCAGAACCGCGAGGAACAGGCGGUA